rnacentral:rRNA from 1 species
GACGAACGCUGGCGGCGUGCUUAACACAUGCAAGUCGAACGGAAAGGCCUGGUUUUGGGGGGUGGCUCGAGGGGCAAAGGGGGGAGAAACACGGGAUAACCUGCCCUUGGAUUUGGGGAAACUUCAGGGAAACUGGGGCAAAUCCCGGAUAGGAGCCCUGGUUGCUGGGUGGGGGUGGGAAAUUUUCGGGGGUUGGGGUUGGACUCGCGGUUUUUCAGCUUGUUGGGGGGGUAGUGGCUUACCAAGGCUUUGACGGGUAGCCGGCCUGAGGGGGUGACCGGCCACAUUGGGACUGAGAUACGGCCCAGACUCCUACGGGAGGCAGCAGUGGGGAAUAUUGCACAAUGGGCGGAAGCCUGAUGCAGCAACGCCGCGUGCGGGAUGACGGCCUUCGGGUUGUAAACCGCUUUCGCCUGUGACGAAGCGUGGGUGACGGUAAUGGGUAAAGAAGCACCGGCUAACUACGUG